AUUGCAGGCUGCAACUCGCCUGCAUGAAGUUGGAAUUGCUAGUAAUCGCGGAUCAGCAUGCCGCGGUGAAUACGUUCCCGGGCCUUGUACACACCGCCCGUCACACCAUGGGAGUUGGGAGCGCCCGAAGCCGGUGAGGUAACCGAGAGGAGCCAGCCGUCGAAGGUGAGACCAAUGACUGGGGUGAAGUCGUAACAAGGUACC
rnacentral:rRNA from 1 species